GACGAACGCUGGCGGCGUGCUUAACACAUGCAAGUCGAACGGGAGUAUCGAAGAAGCUUGCUUUUAAGAUACUUUAGUGGCGGACGGGUGAGUAACGCGUGAGGAGCUGUCCUAUGCAGGGGGACAACAGUUGGAAACGACUGCUAAUACCCCAUAAGCCGAGAGGUAAAAGGAUUUAUCCGGCAAAGGAGGUACUCGCGUCCUAUCAGCUAGUAGGUGAGGUAACGGCUCACCUAGGCGAAGACGGGUAGCCGGCCUGAGAGGGCGAACGGCCACACUGGAACUGAGGUAGCGGCGAGACUCCUACGGGAGGCAGAGGUGGGGAAUAUUGGGCAAUGGGGGCAACCCUGACCAGGCGACACCGCGUGGGUGAAGAAAUCCUUCGGGAUGUAAAGCCCUGUUGUAUGGGAAGAGCAGAAGACGGUACCAUACGAGGAAGCCCCGGCAAACUACGUGCCAGCCGCCGCGGUAAGAC
rnacentral:rRNA from 1 species